UACAGAGGUGCCAAGCGUUAGGCGGAAUCACUGGGCUUAAAGCGCGUGUAGGUGGACGGGUAAGUAUCUUGUGAAAUCCCACGGCUCAACCCGUGGAACUGCUGGAUAUACUGCUUGUCUUGAGGCACUUAGGGGCAGCUGGAACAAAUGGUGGAGCGGUGAAAUGCGUAGAUAUCAUUGGAACGCCAAAGGCGAAAGCAGGCUGCUGGGAGUGAUCGACACUGAGACGCGAA
rnacentral:rRNA from 1 species